CGAGCGGCGAACAGGGAAGCCGGCGCAGGGAGCCGGGCCGGGAACCGCACUGGCGCUUAGUAGGCGCCCAGCGCGCCUCGGUCCUUCACCCACCCAGGAGUGCCACCCUGAUACCUGCUUCCACUCAUGUCCAGCCCUGCCCUGCCAAGCCGUUCUCCCCUAAGGAGCCAGGCUGAUCACUUCAAAAGAUAUUUUGUUCUGGGGAAAACAGCUGCCAUAUCAUGAGCAGCCCUGUGGAGAAGCCCACACGGGGAUUUACUGAAGCUUCUUGCCAACAGCCAUGUGAAUGAGCCAUCUUGGAAGUAGGCCCUCCAGCCCCAGUCAAGCCUUCAAAUGAGUGCAGCCCUGGCCAACAUCUUAGCUCAACCUCAUGAAAGAGACCCUGAGCCAGAACCAUCCAGCAAAGCUGAUCCCAGAUGCCUGAUUCUUAGAAACUACAUGAAGUAAUAAAUUUUCA